GAAAUUUAGAAUUGUUCUCUGUAUUAUUCAUUGAUACAUAUUACACUACAGAUAAUCACAACCCACAUAAAUAAAGUGAGACAAUAACUCGACCAAAAUACCUUACUUACAGCUGAUUACUCAGCAGGCUUUGGUCCGAGAACUGUAGAAUUCGGCUUCGUAUGUAACUCACAAGCAAGCUUUUAUGACUCAUCAGGCUUUGGUUCGAGGAUAACUGGGAUUUUCUCUUUCUUAUCACCUCGCAAGACUUCUACAGUCACCGUGUCACCGACUUUACACUGAUCCAAGAUUCGGUACAAGUCACUCCCAUUUGUGACCUUUUUACCAUCAACAGAUGUAAUAAUAUCUCCUAAGAUGAGACGGCCAUACGGAUCACGUUUUGUUGGCUGGAGACCCGCUUUGCCUGCUGGGCCAUUUGGAGGAGCAUCUAAGACGAGCACCCCACUGACACCAAUCUGCUCAACUGACUGAUCUGGCGCGAACUUGAUCCCUAAAAUAGGCCUGGUCACUUUGCCAAAUCUCACAAGCUGGUCAACAAUACCACUGACUGUAUCAACUGGAAUCGAAAAUCCA
rnacentral:misc_RNA from 1 species